UACGUAGGGUGCAAGCGUUGUCCGGAAUUAUUGGGCGUAAAGAGCUCGUAGGCGGUCUGUCGCGUCUGCUGUGAAAACUCAGGGCUUAACCCCGGGCCUGCAGUGGGUACGGGCAGACUAGAGUGCGGUAGGGGAGACUGGAAUUCCUGGUGUAGCGGUGAAAUGCGCAGAUAUCAGGAGGAACACCGGUGGCGAAGGCGGGUCUCUGGGCCGUAACUGACGCUGAGGAGCGAAAGCAUGGGGAGCGAACAGG
rnacentral:rRNA from 1 species